rnacentral:lncRNA from 1 species
UUAGUAUUUUUUACUUCUUCUAAUUGUUGUACUUCCUUUUUUGCUUGUUGCUUUAUUUUUUCAAUUUCCGUUUUUCUAUCUAUUUCUUCAUUUUCUUUUGUUAUUCUUAUCAUAGCAGUUAAACUAUCUUCUAGUUUUACCGUUUCUUUUUCUAACAUUAAAUUUAGAUUGUCACCUAUUUUCUUAUAUCUUCUUCCUAGAUUAGAAAAUAUUAUCUUUAUUUUUAAUCCGUCAUAGUUUUCAUAUGUUUUUUCAUCUAUUGCAUAUUCUUCUUUAUUCAUUUAUGAGUUGUGUUGUAGU